rnacentral:tRNA from 1 species
GAAAUAUAUUGUUUUAAAAAAUAGCUGCUAACUUUUUUUUUAGUGGUUUAAUUCCAUUAAUAUUUCU